rnacentral:rRNA from 1 species
GAUGAACGCUAGCGACAGGCUUAACACAUGCAAGUCGAGGGGCAGCACAGGUAGCAAUACCGGGUGGCGACCGGCGCACGGGUGAGUAACGCGUAUGCAACUUACCUAUCAGAGGGGGAUAACCCGGCGAAAGUCGGACUAAUACCGCAUGAAGCAGGGGUCCCGCAUGGGGAUAUUUGCUAAAGAUUCAUCGCUGAUAGAUAGGCAUGCGUUCCAUUAGGCAGUUGGCGGGGUAACGGCCCACCAAACCGACGAUGGAUAGGGGUUCUGAGAGGAAGGUCCCCCACAUUGGUACUGAGACACGGACCAAACUCCUACGGGAGGCAGCAGUGAGGAAUAUUGGUCAAUGGCCGAGAGGCUGAACCAGCCAAGUCGCGUGAGGGAUGAAGGUUCUAUGGAUCGUAAGCCUCUUUUAUAAGGGAAUAAAGUGCGGGACGUGUCCCGUUUUGUAUGUACCUUAUGAAUAAGGAUCGGCUAACUCCGUG